UCACUUACCUGGACGGGGUCAAUUGGUGAUCAAGAAGGUCCAUGGCCUAGGUUGGUUACCUCCAUUGCACUCAGGAGGGGUGCCCGCCUAAGGUCGGCCCAAGUGGUCGAGCCUACGUCAUAAUUUGUGGCAGUGGGGGCUUGCGUUCGCGCAGCCCCUGC
rnacentral:snRNA from 1 species